rnacentral:tRNA from 1 species
GCGAAAAUAGCUCAGCUGGUAGAGCGCCACCUUGCCAAGGUGGAGGUCGCGGGUUCAAAUCCCGUUUUUCGCUCUA